UUUGACUCUUGACAAGCUAGAUGGAGGCUUGGAAUGAAGCGGGUCAAACGGAGCAAGUACGAAAAGGAAAGCGUAAUUUGGAUGCGAGUCUUAGGUACUCAAGGAUUAUGGGUGACGAUCAAGCAACUUUUGAAGGACCGAACACAUACUCUUGAAGCUUCCGCAUAAAUCAACUCGGUUUAAACAAUGUUUAUGAUGUAAACUGUUUUCUAAACAACUUUUGAAAUGUUUAAACGACGUACUCAAUUAUGUUAUGUUGUAUUAUUUUAAAAUUGUAAAGUUUAAACAAACCCGUAUUUUUACAAAGUAUAUGUAGUCAUAAUUACAUGUUGUUUGUCGUA